GCCAGGCGUGGUGGUGUAUGCCUGUAAUCCCAGCUACUUGGGAGGUUGAGAUAGGAGAAUCGCUUGAACCUGGGAGGCAGAGGUUGCAGUGAGCCAGGAUUGUGCCGCUGCAUUCUAGCCUGGGUGACACAGUGAGAUCCUGUCUCAA
ensembl:misc_RNA Metazoa_SRP Metazoan signal recognition particle RNA